rnacentral:rRNA from 1 species
AUUGAACGCUGGCGGCAGGCCUAACACAUGCAAGUCGAGCGGAUGAAGGGAGCUUGCUCCUGGAUUCAGCGGCGGACGGGUGAGUAAUGCCUAGGAAUCUGCCUGGUAGUGGGGGAUAACGUCCGGAAACGGGCGCUAAUACCGCAUACGUCCUGAGGGAGAAAGUGGGGGAUCUUCGGACCUCACGCUAUCAGAUGAGCCUAGGUCGGAUUAGCUAGUUGGUGGGGUAAAGGCCUACCAAGGCGACGAUCCGUAACUGGUCUGAGAGGAUGAUCAGUCACACUGGAGGUGAGACACGGUCCAUACUCCUACGGGAGGCAGCAGUGGGGAAUAUUGGACAAUGGGCGAAAGCCUGAUCCAGCCAUGCCGCGUGUGUGAAGAAGGUCUUCGGAUUGUAAAGCACUUUAAGUUGUGAGGAAGGGCAGUAAGUUAAUACCUUGCUGUUUUGACGUUACCAACAGAAUAAGCACCGGCUAACUUCGUG